rnacentral:rRNA from 1 species
GAUCAUGGCUCAGGAUGAACGCUGGCGGCGUGCUUAACACAUGCAAGUCGAACGGAGUGCUCAUGACGGAGGAUUCGUCCAACGGAUUGAGUUACUUAGUGGCGGACGGGUGAGUAACGCGUGAGGAACCUGCCUCGGAGUGGGGAAUAACAGACCGAAAGGCCUGCUAAUACCGCAUGAUACAGUUGGGUCGCAUGACUCUGACUGUCAAAGAUUUAUCGCU